rnacentral:rRNA from 1 species
UACGGGGGAUGCAAGCGUUAUCCGGAAUUAUUGGGCGUAAAGCGUCCGUAGGCGGCCAAUCAAGUCUGCUGUUAAAGCGUGCAGCUUAACUGCAUACCGGCGGUGGAAACUGAUUGGCUUGAGUAUGGUAGGGGUAGAGGGAAUUCCCGGUGUAGCGGUGAAAUGCGUAGAUAUCGGGAAGAACACCAGUGGCGAAGGCGCUCUACUGGGCCAAGACUGACGCUGAUGGACGAAAGCUAGGGGAGCGAAAGGG